GUAGGGAAGGGAUAAACGCUGAAAGCAUCUAAGUCUGAAGCCCAGCUCAAGAUGAGAGUUCCCAUGUCUUUAAGAAAGUAAGAUACCGGAGAGAUGAUCAGGUAGAUAGGUCAGGAGUGGAAGUACAGUGAUGUAUGGAGCGGACUGAUACUAAUCGAUCGAGGACUUAACCAAU
rnacentral:rRNA from 1 species